GUGCUAGCUUCAGCAGCACGUAUACUAAAAUUGGGCCGAUACAGAGAUUAACAUGGUCCCUGUGCAAGGAUGACACGCAAAUUCCUGAAGUGUUCCAUUAAAAA